rnacentral:tRNA from 1 species
AGAAAAUUAGUUAAAUAAAUAACAUUAAUAUGUCAUAUUAAAAUUAUUAUAAAUUUAUAAUAUUCUCUU